GACGAACGCUGGCGGCGUGCCUAAUACAUGCAAGUUGAGCGCUGAAGGUUGGUACUUGUACCAACUGGAUGAGCAGCGAACGGGUGAGUAACGCGUGGGGAAUCUGCCUUUGAGCGGGGGACAACAUCUGGAAACGAAUGCUAAUACCGCAUAAAAACUUUAAACACAAGUUUUAAGUUUGAAAGAUGCAAUUGCAUCACUCAAAGAUGAUCCCGCGUUGUAUUAGCUAGUUGGUGAGGUAAAGGCUCACCAAGGCGAUGAUACAUAGCCGACCUGAGAGGGUGAUCGGCCACAUUGGGACUGAGACACGGCCCAAACUCCUACGGGAGGCAGCAGUAGGGAACCUUCGGCAAUGGACGAAAGGCUGACCGAGCAACGCCGCGUGAGUGAAGAAGGUUUUCGGAUCGUAAAACUCUGUUGGUAGAGAAGAACGUUGGUGAGAGUGGAAAGCGCAUCAAGUGACGGUAACUACCCAGAAAGGGACGGCUAACUACGUG
rnacentral:rRNA from 1 species